CAUUUAAGUCUUUAAUCCAUCUUGAAUUAAUUUUUGUAUAAGGUGUAAGGAAGGGAUCCAGUUUCAGCUUUCUGCAUAUGGCUAGCCAGUUUUCCCAGCAUCAUUUAUUAAAUAAGGAUUCCUUUCCCCAUUUCUUGUUUUUGUCAGGUUUGUCAAAGAUCAGAUAGUUGUAGAUGUGUGGUGGCUGUGGGUUUGUCAUAAAUAGAUCUUAUUAUUUUGAGAUACGUCCCAUCAAUACUUAAUUUAUUUAGAGAUUUUAGCAUGAAGGCUGCAUAUGUUGAACCAGCCUUGCAUCCCAGGGAUGAAGCCCACUUGAUCAUGGUGGAUAAGCUUUUUGAUGUGCUGCUGGAUUUGGUUUGCCAGUAUUUUAUUGAGGAUUUUUGCAUCAAUGUUCAUCAGGGAUAGUUAUCUAAAAUUCUCUUUUUUUGUUGUGUCUCUGCCAGGCUUUAGUAUCAGGAUGAUGCUGGCCUCAUAAAAUGAGUUAGGGAGGAUUUCCUCUUUUUCUAUUGAUUGGAAUAGUUUCAGAAGGAAUGGUACCAGCUCUUCCUUGUACCUCUUGUAUAAUUUGGCCGUGAAUCCGUCUGGUCCUGGACUUUUUUUGGUUGGUAGGCUAUUAAUUAUUGCCUCAAUUUCAGAGACUGUUAUUGGUCUAUUCAGGGAUUCAACUCCUUCCUGAUUUAGUCUUGGGAAGGUGUA
rnacentral:lncRNA from 1 species